rnacentral:rRNA from 1 species
UACGUAGGGUGCAAGCGUUAAUCGGAAUUACUGGGCGUAAAGCGUGCGCAGGCGGUUAUGCAAGACAGAUGUGAAAUCCCCGGGCUCAACCUGGGAACUGCAUUUGUGACUGCAUGGCUAGAGUGCGGCAGAGGGGGAUGGAAUUCCGCGUGUAGCAGUGAAAUGCGUAGAUAUGCGGAGGAACACCGAUGGCGAAGGCAGUCCCCUGGGCCUGCACUGACGCUCAUGCACGAAAGCGUGGGGAGCAAACAGG